rnacentral:rRNA from 1 species
AACGAACGCUGGCUGCAGGCCUAACACAUGCAAGUCGAACGCUGUGGCAAUACAGAGUGGCAGACGGGUGCGUAACACGUGGGAAUCUUCCUAUCGUUACGGAAUAGCUCAGGGAAACUUGGGGUAAUACCGCAUACGCCCUGCGGGCGACAGACUUAUCGCCGAUAGAUUAGCCCGCGUCUGAUUAGCUAGUUGGUUAGGUAAUGGCUCACCAAGGCGACGCUCAGUAGCUGGUCUGAUAGGAUGACCAGCCACCCUGGGACUGAGACACGGCCCAGACUCCUACGGGAGGAAGCAGUGGGGAAUAUUGGACAAUGGGCGCAAGCCUGAUCCAGCCAUGCCGCGUGAGUGACGAAGGUCUUCGGAUUGUAGAGCUCUUUUGGCGGGGACGAUAAUGACGGUACCCGCAGAAUAAGCCCCGGCUAACUUCGUGCCAGCCGCCGCCGUAA